CAAUUAUGUAUAAAUAAUAAUAAUAAUAAUAAUAAUAAAAAUAAAAGAAACUAAUAAAUAGCGGCGUAACUUUAUACGCAAUGGAUCAUGGAUGACCGAUUUAGUUCCGCUUUCAGUUUCCUGCCAAUGCGGCCACAGUUGUAAGAUGCUCUCGCUCUCUCUCGAGUUAUGCUGAAAUUUCGGACAAACAGCCAAGCAGUUCAGUGCUGAAAUGGGUCCACCGGAAUUUCAUAAUAAGCAGAGUCGUGCUGAAUUCUGUCGAUGAACUCUGUGCUGCAAUUUGGAUGGUGGGGGAACAAAACUCCUUUUAAGCCUAAGUCGGAGGAUUGUUGGGAGGAAGUCUCACAUUGAUCAUGAGUUUAUUAUAGAUGGGAAGUUAGACCAUGGGAAGCUUCCAACAAGAAUCAAACUAGUUGGAGUUCCACAACUAUUAGCCUCUGAGAACACAAUCAAGGUCAGUUUGUUUUUUA